rnacentral:rRNA from 1 species
GAAAGGGUUACCGGAUCGGGACGGUCUCGCGGCCUAUCAGCUUGUUGGGGAGGUAACGGCUCACCAAGGCUUCGACGGGUAGCUGGUCUGAGAGGAUGAUCAGCCACACUGGGACUGAGACACGGCCCAGACUCCUACGGGAGGCAGCAGUGGGGAAUCUUGCGCAAUGGGCGAAAGCCUGACGCAGCAACGCCGCGUGCGGGAUGAAGGCCUUCGGGUUGUAAACCGCUUUUAACAGGAACGAAAAUGACGGUACCUGUAGAAUAAGGUGCGGCCAACUACGUGCCAACAGCCGCGGUGACACGUAGGCACCAAGCGUUGUCCGGAUUUAUUGGGCGUAAAGAGCUCGUAGGCGGUUCAGUAAGUCGGGUGUGAAAA